GCUAACCGAUACUAAUUGCCCGUGAGGCUUAACCAUACAACACCCAAGGGGUUU
rnacentral:rRNA from 2 species